UUAGAUUUUAUUUAUUAAUCAUUUAUAUUUUUUAAAAAAGUAUUAAAAAUAAUUAUAAAAUAAAAAGUUUUAGUAUUGUUUAAAGAAAAAAUAAAUUUAAUAAUAGUUUAAUAGUAUUGUAAAAGAAAAUUGAAAUAAUUUGAAAAAUUUUUAUUAUAAAAGAAAAUUUAAUUUAUUGUACCU
rnacentral:rRNA from 1 species